GUAGUGGUGGUGCAUGCCUGUAACCCCAGCUAUUAUGGAGGCUGAGGUAGAAGAAUGACUUGAACCUGGGAAGCAGAGGCUGCAGUGAGCCAAGAUUGCAUCACUACGCUCUAGCCUGGGUGACACGGUGAGACUCUGUCUCAAAAGAGAGAGAGAAAAAGAAAAGAAUAGGAAUGUAGGACUCAGCAACUAGACCAUUCCCAACCUCCUUCUCUGUGAGGCCCUUCUCCUUGAGUGAGAAAACACUGAAUGAGCUGAUGUCUAAGGAUGCUUUGAGCCCUGUCAUUUUAGAAAUCAAUACAUACUUCCGGGAACUGGAGGAUUUAGUUUGGGAAAGUAAAGGUUCCUUGCACUGUGACUAGCUCACCCUGUCACCUUGCUUAAGCACCUUGCCCACUCUAGACCUCAGUUUUCCCAUCUAGAAACUGGAAGCACUGGACUUGGUUGUCCAAGUCCUUCUAGCUUUGAAACUCUAGGCCUCUGCCCUGGUAAGGUUGUGGGAAAAGAAGACCCAGGGAGGCGUAUAUGGGGGCAAGGGGUCAGGGACAGCAAGAAUAAGGUGAUUUUCAGAGAUUCUAUCCAGGAACAAUCCAAGAAGCAACUCAGGUAGGACUGAGGGUUGUAUGAAGCAAUAAGACUCCACAUUCAAAUCAAUUAAAGAGGUCAUGGCCACAGUUUCUGUGUUAGAAAGAAUAGGAGGAGAACUAGGGAAUUGUAUUAUGUGGGACUGUAUUUCGUGGGAUAGAUGGAUAGAUAGACAGACGGGUGGACAGAUGGGUAGAUGGAUAGAUGAAUGGAUUAACAGAUGAACAGAUGGAUAGAUGGAUAAGUGGAUAGAAGCUUGGGUGGACAUAUGGAUGAAUUGGAUGGAUGGAUGGAUGGAUGGAUGGAUGGAUGGACAGAUGGAUGAAAGCUUGGGUGGAUGAAUAGAUGGAUAGACAGCUGAAUGAAAGUUUGGGUAGAAGAAUGGAUAGACAGAUGAAUGGAAGGUUGGGUGGAUAAGUAGAUGAAUGGACAGGUGAAUGGAAGGUUGGGUGGACAGAUGGCUGAAUGAAUGGGUGGAUGGAUAGAUAAAUGGACAAUGAAUGGAUGGACAGGCAGGUAGAUGGAGGAAAGGAUGGGGAAUGUUUAGGAAAGUGGUUUGGUGGAGAGAGUGGGUACAUAUAUUUGGCAGGUGGGAAGAUGCUCAGAUAGAGGGGCAGGCAGAUACAAGUGGGUAAGUAGAUGGGUUUGUGAAUGGGCAGGCAGAUAAACAGAAAGGUCAGUGGGUGUAUGGGCAGGCAGGUGUAUGCCCAGGUGAUUGGAUGGGUGGAUGAGUGGAUGAGUAGGUUUUACAAUGUAAGGGAGUGAGAGGACAAAACUUGACUGAUUGAUUGAUUGGCUUGUUCGUUUUCUUAGCUAUUACCUCAUUUCCUCUUCCAUAUCCUACUCCUAUUCAGCCAGACACCUGAAAAGUUUACAGCAAGUUUCUCUAUGUGUGGAAAUUGUACCAUUUAUAAGAUUAUUUGGCCUGGUGCGGUGGCUUAUGCCUGUAAUCCCAGCACUUUGGGAGGCCGAGGAGGGCGGAUCACUUGAGGUUAGGAGUUUGAGACCAGCCUGGCUCACGUGGCGAAAUCCCAUCUCUACUAAAAAUACAAAAAUUAGCUGGGUGUGGUGGCGCGUGCCUGUAAUCCCAGCUACUCAGGAGGCUGAGACAGGAGAAUUGCUUGAAUGCAGGAGGCAGAGGUUACAGUGAGCUGAGAUUGUGCCACUGCACUCUAGCCUGGGUGACAGAGCAAGACUCCCUCUCAAAAAAAAAUUAUUUUAUGUAAUUACUGAAAUACAGUAAUCUUAGAAAGAACCGAGACAGAAAGUUCCAUCUGGUGCUACCAUGUCUUUAACACUUUGUUGACACUUGUGAUUCUCCCUUUUUAAAAAGAGAAAGUAGACUGUAAAAUCAGAGUCUUAGGCAAUGAAAUAUAACACUGCAAACAGUCCCUGACUUAAAUGAUGGUUCAACUUACAAUUUUUUUGACUUUAUGAUGAUGCAAAAGCAAUGAGCAUUGAGUAGAAACUGUACUUGGAAUUUUGAUUUUCGAUCUUUUUCUGGGCUGGCAAUAUGUGCUUUGACUUGGAGCUGCAACUCACAGUCAGCCACAGGACUAUGAGGGUAGACAGCAGAUACUCCACCAUGGACUGGGUUGCCAGAUGACUUUGCCCAGCUGUAGACUAUUUUAAGUGUUCUGAGCACAUUUAAGGGAGGUGAAGCUAAGCUAUGAUGUUCAGUAGGUUAGGAAUAUUAAAUGCAUUUUUGACAUAGGAUAUUUUCAAUUUACGAUGGGUUUAUCAGAAUGUAACCUCAUGUUAAGUCAAGGAGCAUCUGAAUUUUGUUUUCAUUUGGUUUAGUUUUACUGUUACUUUGUGUAUAUCAUACAAAUUAGGAUAGUGUUACAGAGGGUUUCCUUUUUAUAUGAAUGUAUUUAAGUAAACUGAUUCAGCUAUAAGUAAAAUAUUAAGCAAAUAGUAUUUAUUACCAGGACAAGAGAUGCUGGAUAUGGCAAAGUUCCUGGAGCUAUUUGCAGAUAUUUGUUCUGGGCAUGUCAUGUCCAGACUUAAGAGCCACUCCAGAUCCUUCAUGAGCCCACCCUGUUCUCCCCAUUCUCAUACACACCCAUGAAUCUCCUUUAUUUUCUACCCACUUGCCAGACUCUCUCUUGCCUUCAGAACUUUGCACCUGUAUGUCCCUCUAUCCUGAACUCUCUACUUCUCUCUUUUUUUUUUCUUUGAGACAGAGUCUCGCUCUGUCACCCAGCCUGGCCUGCAAUGGUGCGAUCUCGGC
rnacentral:lncRNA from 1 species